rnacentral:rRNA from 1 species
AGAGUUUGAUCCUGGCUCAGGAUGAACGCUGGCGGCGUGCCUAACACAUGCAAGUCGAACGGGAUCCUUGGAUUAUUCUAAGGUGAGAGUGGCGAACGGGUGAGUAACACGUUGGUGACCUGCCCCAAAGAAGGGGACAACUAUUGGAAACGAUAGCUAAUACCCUAUGUGAUCUCAUGGUUUGGAUACCUGGAGAUUAAAGCUCCGGCGCUUUGGGAGGGGCCUGCGGCCCAUCAGCUAGUUGGUAGGGUAACGGCCUACCAAGGCUAAGACGGGUAGGGGACGUGAGAGCGUGACCCCCCACACUGGCACUGACACACGGGCCAGACUCCUACGGGAGGCAGCAGUGAGGAAUCUUGCACAAUGGGCGAAAGCCUGAUGCAGCAACGCCGCGUGGAUGAUGAAGGCCCUCGGGUUGUAAAAUCCUUUUCUGGAGGAAGAGAAAGGACGGUACUCCAGGAAUAAGCGUCGGCUAACUACGUGCCAGCAGCCGCGGUAAGACGUAGGACGCAAGCGUUAUCCGGAUUUAUUGGGCGUAAAGCGCGUGCAGGCGGUACGGUAAGUCGGACGUGAAAGCUCUCGGCUCAACUGGGAGAGGUCGUUCGAGACUGCCAUACUUGAGGACGGUAGAGGAGAGUGGAAUUCCAGGUGUAGUGGUGAAAUGCGUAGAUAUCUGGAGGAACACCAGUGGCGAAGGCGGCUCUCUGGGCCGUUCCUGACGCUAAGACGCGAAAGCUAGGGGAGCAAACGGGAUUAGAAACCCCGGUAGUCCUAGCCGUAAACGAUGGAGACUACGUGUGGGGAGGUAACCUCUCUGUGCCGUAGCUAACGCGUUAAGUCUCCCGCCUGGGGAUUACGACCGCAAGGUUAAAACUCAAGGAAUUGACGGGGCCCCGCACAGCAGCGGAGCGUGUGGUUUAAUUCGAGCUACACGAAGAACCUUACCAGGGUUUGACAUGUGCGUGUAGGGAUCCGAAAGUGACGACCCUUCGGGGAGCGUACACAGUGCUGCAUGAUGUCGUCAGCUCGGUCUGGAAUGUGGGUAAGUCUGUACCGAGCGCAACAUGCGUUAGUAAUGGUGUUCUAACGACUGGCGUGCCAACGGAGAAAUGUGGAUGACUUCAAGUCACAUG